CACUCCUGCGGGAGGCAGCAGUGGGGAAUAUUGGACAAUGGGCGCAAGCCUGAUCCAGCCAUGCCGCGUGAGUGAUGAAGGCCCUAGGGUUGUAAAGCUCUUUCACCGGUGAAGAUAAUGACGGUAACCGGAGAAGAAGCCCCGGCUAACUUCGUGCCAGCAGCCGCGGUAAUACGAAGGGGGCUAGCGUUGUUCGGAUUUACUGGGCGUAAAGCGCACGUAGGCGGACUAUUAAGUCAGGGGUGAAAUCCCGGGGCUCAACCCCGGAACUGCCUUUGAUACUGGUAGUCUUGAGUUCGAGAGAGGUGAGUGGAAUUCCGAGUGUAGAGGUGAAAUUCGUAGAUAUUCGGAGGAACACCAGUGGCGAAGGCGGCUCACUGGCUCGAUACUGACGCUGAGGUGCGAAAGCGUGGGGAGCAAACAGGAUUAGAUACCCGGGUAGUCCCAUG
rnacentral:rRNA from 1 species